rnacentral:tRNA from 1 species
GCCGCGGUAGCUCAGCCUGGGAGACUUCACAGCUCAACAGCAUCCGGCUGAAGACCGGAGUGUCGUCGGCUCAAAUCCGACCCGCGGCA